rnacentral:rRNA from 1 species
GACGAACGCUGGCGGCGUGCCUAAUACAUGCAAGUCGAGCGAGCUUGCCUAGAUGAUUUUAGUGCUUGCACUAAAUGAAACUAGAUACAAGCGAGCGGCGGACGGGUGAGUAACACGUGGGUAACCUGCCCAAGAGACUGGGAUAACAUUUGGAAACAGAUGCUAAUACCGCAUAACAACAAAAGCCGCAUGGCUUUUGUUUGAAAGAUGGCUUUGGCUAUCACUCUGGGAUGGACCUGCGGUGCAUUAGCUAGUUGGUAAGGUAACGGCUUACCAAGGCGAUGAUGCAUAGCCGAGUUGAGAGACUGAUCGGCCACAAUGGAACUGAGACACGGUCCAU